rnacentral:rRNA from 1 species
CCUGCGGGCGGCAGCAGUGGGGAAUAUUGGACAAUGGGCGAAAGCCUGAUCCAGCCAUGCCGCGUGUGUGAAGAAGGCCUUCGGGUUGUAAAGCACUUUCAGUGGGGAAGAAAGCCUUGGGGCUAAUACCCUCGAGGAAGGACAUCACCCACAGAAGAAGCACCGGCUAACUCCGUGCCAGCAGCCGCGGUAAUACGGAGGGUGCGAGCGUUAAUCGGAAUUACUGGGCGUAAAGCGCGCGUAGGCGGUCUGAUAAGCCGGUUGUGAAAGCCCCGGGCUCAACCUGGGAACGGCAUCCGGAACUGUCAGGCUAGAGUGCAGGAGAGGAAGGUAGAAUUCCCGGUGUAGCGGUGAAAUGCGUAGAGAUCGGGAGGAAUACCAGUGGCGAAGGCGGCCUUCUGGACUGACACUGACGCUGAGGUGCGAAAGCGUGGGUAGCAAACAGGAUUAGAUACCCCGGUAGUC